rnacentral:rRNA from 1 species
CUACGGGACGCUCCAGUGAGGAAUAUUACACAAUGGGGGGAACCCUGAUGCAGCAACGCCGCGUGGAGGAUGACGCAUUUCGGUGUGUAAACUCCUUUUAUAUGUCAAGAAAAUGACGGUAGCAUAUGAAUAAGCACCGGCUAACCCCGUGCCAGCAGCCGCGGUAAUACGGAGGGUGCAAGCGUUACUCGGAAUCACUGGGCGUAAAGGACGCGUAGGCGGGUUGGAAAGUCAGGUGUGAAAUCCUACAGCUUAACUGUAGAACUGCACUUGAAACUUCUAAUCUAGAGUAUGGGAGGGGGAGAUGAAAUUCGUGGUGUAGGGGUAAAAUCCGUAGAUAUCACUAGGAAUACCUAAAGCGAAGGCGAUCUCCUGGAACAUUACUGACGCUAAGGCGUGAAAGCGUGGGGAGCAAACAGGAUUAGAUACCCUCGUAGUC